AGUGAACGCUAGCGGUAGGCCUAACACAUGCAAGUCGAACGGCAGCACAGUAAGAGCUUGCUCUUACGGGUGGCGAGUGACGGACGGGUGAGGAAUACAUCGGAAUCUACUUUUUCGUGGGGGAUAACGUAGGGAAACUUACGCUAAUACCGCAUACGACCUACGGGUGAAAGCAGGGGAUCUUCGGACCUUGCGCGAUUGAAUGAGCCGAUGUCGGAUUAGCUAGUUGGCGGGGUAAAGGCCCACCAAGGCGACGAUCCGUAGCUGGUCUGAGAGGAUGAUCAGCCACACUGGAACUGAGACACGGUCCAGACUCCUACGGGAGGCAGCAGUGGGGAAUAUUGGACAAUGGGCGCAAGCCUGAUCCAGCCAUACCGCGUGGGUGAAGAAGGCCUUCGGGUUGUAAAGCCCUUUUGUUGGGAAAGAAAAGCAGCAGGUUAAUACCCCGCUGUUCUGACGGUACCCAAAGAAUAAGCACCGGCUAACUUCGUG
rnacentral:rRNA from 1 species